CAACCUACCCUUCAGAGGGGGACAACAGUUGGAAACGACUGCUAAUACCGCAUACGAUCUAACCUCGGCAUCGAGGAUGGAUGAAAGGUGGCCUCUAUUUAUAAGCUAUCACUGAAGGAGGGGAUUGCGUCUGAUUAGCUAGUUGGAGGGGUAACGGCCCACCAAGGCGAUGAUCAGUAGCCGGUCUGAGAGGAUGAACGGCCACAUUGGGACUGAGACACGGCCCAG
rnacentral:rRNA from 1 species